rnacentral:tRNA from 1 species
GCGGGCAUGGUCUAGCGGUAUGACGCUACCUUGCCAAGGUAGAAGUGUGGGUUCGACUCCCAUUGCCCGCU